rnacentral:rRNA from 1 species
UUAAGCGACUAAGCGUACACGGUGGAUGCCCUGGCAGUCAGAGGCGAUGAAGGACGUGCUAAUCUGCGAUAAGCGUCGGUAAGGUGAUAUGAACCGUUAUAACCGGCGAUUUCCGAAUGGGGAAACCCAGUGUGAUUUGUCACACUAUUAUUAACUGAAUCCAUAGGUUAAUGAGGCGAACCGGGGGAACUGAAACAUCUAAGUACCCCGAGGAAAAGAAAUCAACCGAGAUUCCCCCAGUAGCGGCGAGCGAACGGGGAGCAGCCCAGAGCCUGAAUCAGUGUGUGUGUUAGUGGAAGCGUCUGGAAAGGCGCGCGAUACAGGGUGACAGCCCCGUACACAAAAAUGCACAUACUGUGAGCUCGAUGAGUAGGGCGGGACACGUGGUAUCCUGUCUGAAUAUGGGGGGACCAUCCUCCAAGGCUAAAUACUCCUGACUGACCGAUAGUGAACCAGUACCGUGAGGGAAAGGCGAAAAGAACCCCGGCGAGGGGAGUGAAAAAGAACCUGAAACCGUGUACGUACAAGCAGUGGGAGCCUCUUUUAUGGGGUGACUGCGUACCUUUUGUAUAAUGGGUCAGCGACUUAUAUUCUGUAGCAAGGUUAACCGAAUAGGGGAGCCGAAGGGAAACCGAGUCUUAACUGGGCGUUAAGUUGCAGGGUAUAGACCCGAAACCCGGUGAUCUAGCCAUGGGCAGGUUGAAGGUUGGGUAACACUAACUGGAGGACCGAACCGACUAAUGUUGAAAAAUUAGCGGAUGACUUGUGGCUGGGGGUGAAAGGCCAAUCAAACCGGGAGAUAGCUGGUUCUCCCCGAAAGCUAUUUAGGUAGCGCCUCGUGAAUUCAUCUCCGGGGGUAGAGCACUGUUUCGGCAAGGGGGUCAUCCCGACUUACCAACCCGAUGCAAACUGCGAAUACCGGAGAAUGUUAUCACGGGAGACACACGGCGGGUGCUAACGUCCGUCGUGAAGAGGGAAACAACCCAGACCGCCAGCUAAGGUCCCAAAGUCAUGGUUAAGUGGGAAACGAUGUGGGAAGGCCCAGACAGCCAGGAUGUUGGCUUAGAAGCAGCCAUCAUUUAAAGAAAGCGUAAUAGCUCACUGGUCGAGUCGGCCUGCGCGGAAGAUGUAACGGGGCUAAACCAUGCACCGAAGCUGCGGCAGCGACGCUUAUGCGUUGUUGGGUAGGGGAGCGUUCUGUAAGCCUGCGAAGGUGUGCUGUGAGGCAUGCUGGAGGUAUCAGAAGUGCGAAUGCUGACAUAAGUAACGAUAAAGCGGGUGAAAAGCCCGCUCGCCGGAAGACCAAGGGUUCCUGUCCAACGUUAAUCGGGGCAGGGUGAGUCGACCCCUAAGGCGAGGCCGAAAGGCGUAGUCGAUGGGAAACAGGUUAAUAUUCCUGUACUUGGUGUUACUGCGAAGGGGGGACGGAGAAGGCUAUGUUG